rnacentral:lncRNA from 1 species
UUCCAUUUAUACAUUUAUUUAAAAAUAAACUUUUGGAUAUUUUUCUUUACAGUGCACAAGGUCAAAUGAGAGCACAUUAUUUCUGGGCUUCUUAAACUAGGAUACAUAUUAGGAGCGUGGGGUUAACCAAGAUAACACAAUGUGUUGUCCUAGAGAAUAUAAUUAAUAUAACAAUACCUGCUAAAGGAAAAACUUUUUUGAAUUACAAUUAAUUAUGGGAUUAGAAUGCACCAUUUAUAUCAUUGUUAUGAUAAAACAGAAUUAAACCAUUUCAAUGUCAUGACUGGAGGAAGUUUGAGAAGUUUUUGUUAGCAAAAAAGCUCUGUGUGUGAAAAAUGCAAAGCAGUAUUCAAACACGUCAUUUCCAGGUUUCAGAAUCCCUUUGCACCCACGAAGCCAAACAGCUUCAGGGCUUAUGUGCAUAAAGUUUCAUUUCCUCAAGCCUUUUUAGAAGAUGAAAUAUGUAUUAAUAAUAAUGUAUGAAUUCUCUCAAAG